GUAGGUGGCAAGCGUUGUCCGGAAUUAUUGGGGCGUAAAGCGCGCGCAGGCGGUUCUUUAAGUCUGAUGUGAAAGCCCACGGGCUCAACCGUGGAGGGUCAUUGGAAACUGGAGAACUUGAGUACAGAAGAGGAAAGCGGAAUUCCACGUGUAGCGGUGAAAUGCGUAGAGAUGUGGAGGAACACCAGUGGCGAAGGCGGCUUUCUGGUCUGUAACUGACGCUGAGGCGCGAAAGCGUGGGGAGCAAACAGGAUUAGAUACCCUGGUAGUCCACGCCGUAAACGAUGAGUGCUAAGUGUUAGGGGGUUUCCGCCCCUUAGUGCUGCAGCUAACGCAUUAAGCACUCCGCCUGGGGAGUACGGCCGCAAAAGCUG
rnacentral:rRNA from 1 species